rnacentral:lncRNA from 1 species
ACCUAAUUAUGUGUGUUUUAAUGUGACUUUUGCUAUGUGUUCUCCAUGAUGUUUGAAUGAUUGAUGAGUCAUAGUGAUAUGAAAGAAUAUGUUUUGAAAAUGGGAGUAUGGUACUUGAUUGAUGGUCGAGUAGGCAAGGGACGCGGGAGGAACCGGCGGACCCAACACAUGGUGGCAAAUACCUGAGGUCGAAAGACCAGUAUGGAAAACCCACAAUUAAUGAAAUGAAAUACGGCUAAUACCUGAGGUCGAAAGGCCGGUAUGGAAACCCCCGUAUUAUCUAUGGCCAAAUAUGAUGAACAGGUUCCGAAAACGAAAGCCUAUUGCUAUCAGUCAAGUACCACACUUCAAGGGUACCCGAUAAAGAGAAGGAUUUCAAAGAAAAGGAUCAUGAAUGAAGUUA